UACAGAGGUGGCAAGCGUUGUUCGGAAUUACUGGGCGUAAAGGGCGCGUAGGCGGCCUACUAAGUCGGACGUGAAAUCCCUCAGCUUAACUGGGGAACUGCGUCCGAUACUGGAUGGCUUGAGUUUGGGAGAGGGAUGCGGAAUUCCAGGUGUAGCGGUGAAAUGCGUAGAUAUCUGGAGGAACACCGGUGGCGAAAGCGGCUCACUGGAUCGAAACUGACGCUGAGGUGCGAAAGCUAGGGUAGCAAACGGG
rnacentral:rRNA from 1 species